rnacentral:sRNA from 3 species
UAUCUCUCCGUACGGGAAGGAUGAGAAGCUUCGACUAAGGUUCGAUUCGAGCGCAGCGAGAAAGCGUUGCCGCAGGCAACGACCCGAAGGGCGAAGCGCGCAGCGCUGAGUCAUCCUUCCCCCACCACC